CCUACGGGUGGCAGCAGUGAGGAAUAUUGGUCAAUGGUCGGGAGACUGAACCAGCGAAGCCGCGUGAGGGAGGAAGGUACAGAGUAUCGUAAACCUCUUUUGUCAGGGAACAAAGACUGGGACGCGUCCCCGGAUGAGUGUACCUGAAGAAAAAGCAUCGGCAAACCCCGUGCCUGCAGCCGCGGCAAUACGGGGGAUGCGAGCGUUAUCCGGAUUUGUGGGGUUGAAAGGGCGCGCGGGCGGUCUGUUAAGUCAGCGGUCAAACCCCGGGGCUCAACCCCGGCCCGCCGUUGAAACUGGCAGACUCGAGUUGGAGAGAGGUAUGCGGAAUGCGCGGUGUAGCAGUGAAAUGCGUAGAUAUCGCGCAGAACUCCGGUUGCGAAGGCGGCAUGCCGGCUCCACACUGACGCUGAGGCACGAAAGCGUGGGUAUCGAACAGGAUUAGAUACCCUAGUAGUC
rnacentral:rRNA from 1 species